AUGUGCUCUGAUGUCCCCAGGUGUGUCCUCCCCACCCCAGGUGUGUCCUCAGGUGUGUCCCAGACAUCUCCAGGUCCCCCAGCUGUCUCCAGUUUUGUCCCAGGUGUCCCCCAGGUGUGUCCCAGGUGUGCUCUGAUGUCCCCAGAUGUGCCCAGGUGUCUUCAGGUUUGUCCCAGGUGUGCUCUGAUGUCCCCAGGUGUGUCCCAGGUGUCAAUUCCCCACUCCAGGUGUGCCCCAGAUGUUUCCAGGUCCCCUCAGGUGUCCCCAGGUGUGUCCCAGGUGCUCCUCCCACGCUCCAGAUGUGCUCAGGUGUGCCCCAGGUGCUCCUCCCACAUUCCAGAUGUGCCCAGGUAUCCCCCAGGUGCUCCUCCCACACUCCAGGUGUGUCUCAGGUGUCCCCCAGGUGCUCCUCCCACUCUCCAGAUGUGCCCAGGUGCCCCCAGGUGUGUCCCAGGUGUGCUUUGACGUCCCCUCCCCCACUCCAGAUGUGUCCAGGUGUGCUCACCUGCCCAUGAGCACCUUCACCUGGGCCAUGGAUUCCUCCAGGGCUGGAUCCGGGGAAUC
rnacentral:lncRNA from 12 species